rnacentral:rRNA from 1 species
GAUGAACGCUGGCGGCGUGCCUAAUACAUGCAAGUCGAGCGAACAGACGAGGAGCUUGCUCCUCUGACGUUAGCGGCGGACGGGCGAGUAACACGUGGAUAACCUUCCUAUAAGACUGGGAUAACUUCGGGAAACCGGUGCUCAUACCGGAUAAUCUAUUGAACCGCAUGGUUCAAUAGUGAAAGACGGUUUUGCUGUCACUUAUAGAUGUAUCCGCGCCGCAUUAGCUAGUUGGUAAGGUAACGGCUUACCAAGGCAACGAUGCGUAGCCGACCUGAGAGGGUGAUCGGCCACACUGGAACUGAGACACGGCCCAGACUCCUACGGGAGGCAGCAGUAGGGAAUCUUCCGCAAAGGGCGAAAGCUUGACGGAGCAACGCCGCGUGAGUGAUGAAGGUCUUCGGAUCGUAAAACUCUGUUAUUAGGGAAGAAAAAAUGUGUAAGUAACUAUGCACGUCUUGACGGUACCUAAUCAGAAAGCCACGGCUAACUACGUG